AUUUAAGUAGUUUAAAAUAAAACAUUAGUUUGUGGAAUUAAAAAUAUAUAAUAAUAUAUCUUAGAUU
rnacentral:tRNA from 1 species